rnacentral:rRNA from 1 species
UACGGAGGAUCCAAGCGUUAUCCGGAUUUAUUGGGUUUAAAGGGUGCGUAGGCGGCUUUUUAAGUCAGUGGUGAAAGUUUUCAGCUCAACUGAAAAAUUGCCAUUGAUACUGAGAGGCUUGAGUACAGAUGAGGUGGGCGGAAUGAGUCAAGUAGCGGUGAAAUGCAUAGAUAUGACUCAGAACACCAAUUGCGAAGGCAGCUCACUAAAGUGUAACUGACGCUGAGGCACGAAAGCGUGGGGAUCGAACAGG